AAUUCUGGACCCCGCUACAAUUUUCCGCAAGCCAAUUAUGUUCACUCUCCUCUUGUUUAUCAAGCUCCUCCAAUGCCACCUCAAUUUCAGCAAGCUUGGUAUCCCGACACGGCUGCCAACUAUCACAUCACUCCUGAUGUUCAGGCUUUAACAGCAGCUCAAGGUUACAAUGGGAACGAUAGUCUUCAUGUUGGUAAUGGUCAGGGUUUACAGAUUACUCAUACUGGUAAUGUUCAGCUCCAU
rnacentral:misc_RNA from 1 species